UCAGGCAGACAAAUGGUCAACCCACAUCUCUAAAACAGUCAUCUAUCUGCUAUGGCCCAUGGCCAGGUGCAAUGUGGGUGUAUCUUGGCUUCUCAACACUGAAGCACCUGUAUGCUGGAUCAUGUUCAGGGAAA